UACAGAGGGUGCGAGCGUUGCUCGGAAUGACUGGGCGUAAAGGGCGCGUAGGCGGCGCAGUUAGUCAGGCGUGAAAUUCCUGGGCUCAACCUGGGACACCACCCGAUACUGCUCUGGCUAGAGUCCGGUAGGGGAGCGUGGAAUUCCUGGUGUAGCGGUGAAAUGCGCAGAUAUCAGGAGGAACACCAGCGGCGAAGGCGGCGCUCUGGGCCGGUACUGACACUGAGGAGCGAAAGCGUGGGUAGCAAACAGG
rnacentral:rRNA from 1 species